rnacentral:misc_RNA from 1 species
GAAACCCCUCUCAUUGAUCAAUUUUAUUAUUGAUCUCAAUGGAUGAUGAGUGUUGCUCUUCUUUUAAGAAGCAGCUCACUUUAAAUUGAUCAGUUCAUUUUUAGAAAAUCAUAAAAAGAGAGUUGAUGUGAUACUUAUCUUCAUCAAUUCCAAGCAUUUUUUAAUAAGGCACUUCUAAAGCAAACUUUUGAUU